GCGAUUCCCCGUGCCUGGCAUACAGCCUAGCAUACAGCAACAUAACUAGGAAGAAAUAAAUGGCUUCGGGCAUGCUGGACUUGCGAACACAAAUUUAUGAAGUGACAGCUAGUGUCAUGAUGCUCCUGCCUCAAGAUGACCUCCCAACCCAGAGCCCGGCUGCUUGGAGGGAAGAAAAGAACCAGGCUUUAUUCUGCAGAAUAAAACAACACAGAUGCUGGUGAAUGCACUGUCAGCCCAUGCCUGCCAGCUGGGACCAACAAUAGGAGAGGAGGCACUGGCUGCAUCGCUAACAGAUUUCCAAGAACGCUAUGGGCAGCCAAAAAAGCCAUUUGGGCUUGUUUCUUUUUCCUCUGUUGCCUUUCUGAGAGAUAAAGAGGCUGAUGGAUCAUAAAUGGAGAUAUGAAUUUGAUAACAUUUGGAAAGAGGUUAAUGGAAACCAACGUACAAACUACAGAAUAGGAGAACACGGCAGAUUUCUAAAUGCCAAUAGCAUUUAGAAGCUGCUCUUAAAGAAAAUUUGAAGGUGAGCAGGCGGUGGGCAGAGGAUCUGAAGCAGCUGCAAGGGCCUCACAUGAGUUUGGAAAUGUCUUCCUAAUGUGAUGGAUCCUGGCAUCAUUCCACGCAGACGCCAGGUAGGUGUCCCUGUCCACAGCUCUCUGAGCUCCUGGGAUAAUUUCAAAACAGCAGAGAGUGAGGGCAUGUGCAUCAUUUGAGCACAUCAUAGAGGGCACCACUGAUUCGCUGCACUGGAAGUUUGUUUGCUCUAUGUGAAAUCUCUUAUGUCUGGCCUAGAAGCCUGCAUCAAGGAACUGGGAAACACCACCGGCUCCCUCUGUGAGUGGCAACCAUGAAAUCCACCCUCCAGUGGCCUCUUGUGGACUGUGGACUAACUUCCUUCAGGGGUCCCAGGAAGUCCUAGGGAAGUGGAAACUCCCUUCCAUAUCCCACUUCAAGACUCAGCCAUUGUGCAGAAGAGGCCAAUAGCAAGACCCCAAUUUAGUUCCAUGCCUGAGGAGUUCAGCCUAAAAUCCUGAAGUUGCACAGGGUUUUACUGUCUUAUUCCAUUCUCUCAACAAUGCUGUUUCAUUCGCGAGGACAAUGGCACUUGGAGAGAUUGAGUGACUUCCUCAGGUCUCACCAAUUGUAAGGAGCAGGGUAGGUCCUGAAUUCUGGCCUCUUCUGGAUCCACAGGGUUCUGGUGCAUGGUUAUCCUGGUUCUGAUUUUUCUCAAAUCAGAGAAGACAAGGGGACAAAGACAUUUAAUCCCACGGAACCUCAUGUCAGUCUCACUAAGUAACCAGGGCUUCAGAGGAUGCCACUAGUCCUUGCUUGCAAGUAGUCAGGCAUUAUGCUGCUGCCUGCUAGACUGUGUUGGCCACUAGCCACACUUGGCUACUGAGCCCUUGAAAUGUGGCCAGUCUAAACUGAGAUGUGUGUGUGAACUUCAAAGGCUUUAAAAAAGAAGGGUUGAAGAUGACUCACUACCACCAUGUCCAACCUCCAAUUUGAAGGAAAAUGGAAAGGGGAAAGUUGAACCAACAGUACCUUUAUGAAGGCAUGGCCUGAAAAUGGAAGAUUAUCACUUCUCUUUGCAUCACACUGGCAGGUAAUUGGUUGCUUGGCCACAUGUAGCUGCAAUAAAGGCUGGGAACUGCAGUCUCUAGUUGAGCGGGGUAUGUUUAGCUAGAGUUUGGGGUGUUAUUGCCA
rnacentral:lncRNA from 1 species